GACGAACGCUGGCGGCGUGCCUAAUACAUGCAAGUCGAGCGGACUUUCAAGAAGCUUGCUUUUUGAAAGUUAGCGGCGGACGGGUGAGUAACACGUGGGCAACCUGCCUGCAAGACGGGGAUAACUCCGGGAAACCGGGGCUAAUACCGGAUAAUAUCUUCCUUCGCAUGAAGGAAGGUUGAAAGGCGGCGCAAGCUGCCGCUUGCAGAUGGGCCCGCGGCGCAUUAGCUAGUUGGUGAGGUAACGGCUCACCAAGGCGACGAUGCGUAGCCGACCUGAGAGGGUGAUCGGCCACACUGGGACUGAGACACGGCCCAGACUCCUACGGGAGGCAGCAGUAGGGAAUCUUCCGCAAAGGACGAAAGUCUGACGGAGCAACGCCGCGUGAGCGAAGAAGGUCUUCGGAUCGUAAAGCUCUGUUGUCAGGGAAGAACAAGUACCGUUCGAACAGGGCGGUACCUUGACGGUACCUGACCAGAAAGCCACGGCUAACUACGU
rnacentral:rRNA from 1 species